GUAGGUGGCAAGCGUUGUCCGGAAUUAUUGGGGCGUAAAGCGCGCGCAGGCGGUUCUUUAAGUCUGAUGUGAAAGCCCACGGGCUCAACCGUGGAGGGUCAUUGGAAACUGGAGAACUUGAGUACAGAAGAGGAAAGCGGAAUUCCACGUGUAGCGGUGAAAUGCGUAGAGAUGUGGAGGAACACCAGUGGCGAAGGCGGCUUUCUGGCCUGUAACUGACGCUGAGGCGCGAAAGCGUGGGGAGCAAACAGGAUUAGAUACCCUGGUAGUCCACGCCGUAAACGAUGAGUGCUAAGUGUUAGGGGGUUUCCGCCCCUUAGUGCUGCAGCUAACGCAUUAAGCACUCCGCCUGGGGAGUACGGCCGCAAAGGCUGA
rnacentral:rRNA from 1 species